AAAGUGGCGCACGGGUGAGUAACGCGUGGGUAAUCUACCCUCAAAUUGGGGAUAACCACUCGAAAGGGUGGCUAAUACCGCAUAAGACCACGACCCUGCGGGGAUGAGGUCAAAGGCGCAAGCCGCCGAGGGAGGGGCCCGCGGCCGAUUAGCUAGUUGGUAAGGUAACGGCUUACCAAGGCGACGAUCGGUAGCUGGUCUGAGAGGAUGAUCAGCCACACUGGUACUUAGACACGGACCAG
rnacentral:rRNA from 1 species